ensembl:lncRNA
GUUCAGUCUCACCUUGAUUGAUAGAAAUGCAAUAAUAUUUAAUAUUUCUACAAAUGUAUAACUCAUAUCUCUCUUGGAAGGCCAGAAAAUAAAUUAACAAUGGACAAUAAUUUUUACCUGGUAAAAGGAUGUGGAAGUUUUUUAAGUCCGCGCCUGAAGGUGGUCUUCGAAGGCGUUCUGAUCUGGUUCGACACUUCCACCACAUCAGGUGGAGUAUCAGUGACCUCAAAGUGUGAAUGACAUUGUUGCUGGGGUACAGCAGUAUCAAUCACCACUAUUGGACAACCUCAGGAAGCAGAUGGAAGCAGUGCUAAAGAAGCAUUCAGGAAGCACAUCAGGUCAACUUGAAAAAGAUGCAAUGGAUAUAUUUGACAAUUUCAUUGACCCUUUUGCUGGCGUUGCAACAACAUUUAGACAGGACAGUGGUAUUAAGAAGCUGUUUGGACGCAGAGGAAAUUCCAAUUGCUCGAACCAUAUGCAGGAUGAAAUGUGGAGGAUCAAAAGACAUUUUCAUCAAAGAUAAAUUAUUUUAUUAUGUACCAUUAGUCAAAAGUCUAGAACAGUUCUUAUCACACCCAAGGAUUUUGUCUAUGGUUAAAAAGGGACCCCAGAUGUGCAGGGAAAGUUUUUUCAUGACAUGGUUGAUGGUGCUCUUCUAAAAUCACAUCCCUUAUUUUCAGAGAAACCAAAGGCAUUGCAGAUUGUUCUGUACACGGAUUAAAUAGAAAUCUGUAAUCCACUAGGUCCUUUGCAUCAAAAAACAAGUUAAUUGUGUACUACACCCUAGGAAAUAUAAAUCCAAAAUACAGGUCUAAACUGGCUGCUAUCAGGAUACUUGCCAUGGCUAGAUCAGUAGACCUCCGUCAAUCUGGUGUAGAUGUAAUAUUGAAUAGAAUCAAGGAAGACAUGGAUGCAUUGUACAGUGGGGUUAAAAUGCUAACUAUUAACGGAGAGAAAAUUAUAUAUGGUGCCAUGGUUUCUCUGUGGAGACACCCUGGCACAACAGGGUUCAAAGAGGGUGUGGGCUUUGCCUACAGUAAGUGCAGACAUGUAUAUACUAAAGGAUAUAUAGGAUGUAUAUACUAAAAAGACAUUGGAGAAGCAUGUCAGUGUGAUGAAAUAGAAAAGGCACAGACGGACUUGCUUCGCAACAGCCUGAGAACAACAUAUGGGAUCAAUAGAAGGAGCAAGUUAGUUGAAUUCCCAGCCUUUGAUAUCAUACAAACUCCGCAAGACAUUAUGCAUGUCAUUCUGGAGGCAUAUCCCCAUUGGAAGUCAAAUGUGUUUUGAAUCAUCUCGUUGUGUCAGGACAGAUUGAUCUGGACUGAGUGAAUUCUGCUAUUCUUGGUUUCCCUUAAUUCCCCUCUAGAUGUUAGAGAUCGGCCAUCCCCAAUUUCUGUUAGUACAUUAAAGUCAAGUGAUGGUAAACUAAAACAGUCAUCUGGGCAAAUGCUUGUCCUGCUAAGGAUAUUGCCAUUUGUUUUUGGGGAGUUUGGAAGUCAAUGCAUAUAUACAACUGAUAAUUGAGCUAAUAGAGAUAGUACAGAUAGUAUUUGUACAGAUAGUAUUUGCGCCUGUUCUUUCCAUUGUGACUGUGUCUAGGUUGAAGUUGCUCAUUGAAAAUCAUUUGAAGCAUUGGAAGUUGCUUUUUCCAGACCGCAAUGUUACACCUAAACAGCAUUAUAUGAUACAUUUGCC